AAGUCGUAACAAGGAUCAUUAACACGUAUCCAACGUUAAAAACCCCGUGCAUUAACCCUGCUCUCUUCGGCCUUGAUAAGCAAUCUCUGGUAAAUCACGCAGAAUAGUUUGAUUCAGAGACUUCUUUGAAGACGCCGGAUCGAGCGGUAGAGCAAAUGGACUUGGUUUCCGAAAGGAUAACUGAUACCUACUCAGGCCCACAAAACGAACAACUGUUAACAAUGGAUAUCUUGGUUCUC
rnacentral:misc_RNA from 1 species